AACACCUGCACACAAGAAAGCAGCUUUUAGUUUUUAUAUCUAUUUCAGAAUAAGUUUUUAAAAAAUGGAGAAAUGAGGGGGAAGUAGAGGGCAGCAUCUUAAAUAAUUUAUGUGCCUCUAAAAUUCAUGAAAGUCAUUUAUUGGGAAUGAAAGAAGAAGCCCUCCUUUAAAUAAAGUCCUUUUUAAAGUAUUUUCAUCUCUGCAGAAAAUAAUCUGCGUUGCGUUGCAUCAAAUGCAGUUAAACUUCAACGUAUAUAUUAUCACUGCCUUAUCAAAUUCAUAACAUCUGUAUUAUGUGGAGCUAUAGCUUGUAAAAGUACAAAUGUGAUAUGUGGUGCAUAGAUUCAUAUUUCAUGCUAAUUUUAGAGUUGUAUGCAGAAGAUGUUAACAUCGGUCAGACUCAGGCUUUAGCUUCUUUAUAUAUAUAUUUUUUGUCACCUUAUUUUUUUCUUGUUACAACUUUUAAGUAAUGUAUACUGUAAUAACCUGACCCGCGUAUCUGUGACCACCAGUUUACUCUAAUCCAGCACCAAUGACAUCCUGUUAUUGAGCUAAAACGUAUUUUAUUAUAGGGCUUCCACGUCGGACAGCUGCUGACUCAGUUCACGUUCUGAAAACUUUGACCUUUGGCUGCGAUCACCGUGACCUGUGGCACCCUGAACGCCGUGUGCUGCAGCAUAUUUGCUGUUGAUUUAUAGCCAUGUGGCCGUGUUACAGCCGGCCACCUGACGCGACCUCCACUGAAGCAACACAUGAUACGUACAGAAUCACCUCCCUGUACGGCUGCUUAAACAAUUAUUACUUCUCAGAGAGGUAUUACAAAUCUAUAAUAAUUCUUCCUUGUUGAGGGUUUUUUAUGCUAUUGCAACUUUUCCACAUUCAUUUUUUUUUAAGCACAUUGUUAGCAACGGCUUAGCAUUAGCAUCCAGAGGCCUCUCGGUCUGGACGGCGAGGCGGGGGCUCACCUGCGCGCCCUCCUUCCGGUAGCUGCUGACGAUGCAGUGCACGAUGCCCUUGUACUUCCUCUGCAGCUGGGCGUCGGCCUGCAGGCGGCUCUUCACCACGUCGGCCGGCGUGGCCGUGACCCAGGAGAUGGACCCUGGAGGAGGGGAGACUUUUAGUUUCGAGGUGAUUCGGACGGUCAGGUUAGAAGGCCUGGGACGAGGACAACUACCAAGUGUUUAAACUUACACAAAACAUGGACAUUAAUGAACGAAAUAAAAAAACUCAAUUAGCUAUGAAUACUGAGUAGGUUUAGAGCUUUCAUUAAUUGCAGCGGGAGAGUUUUCUUUUUCACAUGUUUAAAAGAAGAUAUCUACAUCCAUCUAUUGUGGUGACGUUAUAUGUUUGUAUGAAAUAAGUUAAGUUUUUACCCCAUUCCCACGUAGUCUCUUCAACAUGGCUUUAACUUGACUAAACUUCUUUUCAAAGGUU